UUCCAGGGCUCAGAGCGGCCCCACAUUGGCAUCGCCAGGUUUCAGCCGAACAUCCCACCGGGAUCGACCAAGGUCCCGGGAGCUUUCCAAUCCAACAGGCGCUGCCUCCCUCCCUCCUCCUCCAGUCAAUUCCUCCUCCACCACCCCCGCCUCCGGCCGAGCUCGUCCCCUCCGCUCCGCGCCAAUCCUCGCCGGAACCCUAGCCCCGGGCCUCCCACCCGCCCGCCCCGACAUGCGCCGCCCGGCGCCCCGAGCCGCGCGCUGAUCCUCAGCGAAGCUCCCCGUCCGCCGGCAUGGGGGGCCGCUACGGUCUCCUCCGCGACGACGACGCCCCCGGGGGCUGCCUGCCGCUGCCGAUAAUCGCAGCCGAGACCGCGCUCGCUGCCAUCGACGCUGCCAUUGCUGCCGCCGCCUUCGUGCAGUUGGCAAGAAUUCACAGGCACAACCAGCAACAUGGAUGGACACGGCAAAAGAUAUUUCAUUUAAUGAUUGGCCUAUGCAACACAGUAUUCCUUGCGUAUUUCAUAUCUACCAUCAUCGCUACUUGUCAGAGAUGGGUUUGUUGGGUACAUGGAUGUGGAUUUGUUCUUAUGGCUAGUCCACAGAUAUUGCUUCUCGCUUCUUUUCUACUAUUGCUGUCAUUCUGGGUUGACCUGUGCCAUCAGACAAAUGAUGAAGAUGAAGAUGAUGUAAGGAGUCACCAUGAAGCUUUACUAGACAAAACAAAAACAAAACCUGGCACUCGUCCGACUGAUAUUCGUCGGAAGUGUUUCUCAGGGAUACAGCUUGGAAGCCGGCAAAAAUUUGUGAUAUUGGUGCUUGUCCUGUCAUUUGCUGUUAUGCUCACCUUUGCCAUCCUCAUAUGGCUUGGCAGGGGAGAAAAUCCGAUUGAUUCAUCAGUACUGAAAAAGGUUUAUUUGGAUGUAUUUUCAGUAGUUGUUCUAGUACUUGGCGGUGCUUUGGCAUGUUAUGGUGCAUUGUUAUUCUCGAAGAUGAGCAAAGUACGUUCUGAAACUGUGUCAACCGAGAAAUGGAAGGUUGCCAGUUUAGCUGCUGUCUCCCUGAUUUGUUUCUCAUCUUCUGCUAUACUAGCACUUGUAACUAAUGUUCCUGUGCUUUUGUAUUGGUACUCAACAGAUGCGGACAUCAUCAACAAUGCUGUUAUACUAUUUUUAUAUUAUUUAAUAGGCUCUUCGGUGCCAUCAGGAUUUGUUUUAUGGGUCAUGAGAGAUAUGCCACAACGGCCGAUAGUAGAAAGGCCUACCCAAUCAAGAGUGGUUACUUUGUUCAGGGACAGACCGCCCAAUACACAGGAUCCACAGUGGAGAACUGCUGUUACAUCCUCUAACAAGGCCCUCAAGUCAAGCCCAAUUUAACCAGAAGACAAAUGAUCGAUAUAGAAACUUUUUGGUCUGCUUAAUGUGCUGGGACUUUUACCAACACAUCAGUGACACGUUGGCAUCUAGUAGCUUUCUGACGAUUGGCCAGCACAGGACGGAUCUGUAAUUCCUACUAGAAGGUAGCUUUAAUGAUGGAAAGAAUGGAAUUACCUGCGGAUGUAGCAAGUGCUAGAUGAUGGAUCCCUGGGCUGAGUCUAGAGACGUCAGUUGUUUUGGAUGCAAAUAUGCAAUAUUGCUGCAGUGCUAAAUGAUGGAUUAGAAGUUUGAUGAGAGAGGGAAGAUAAAUACAGCUUCUGAAGGCCACUAUGGAAGAGCUCGGCUAAAAGGGAGGAUGGAAAGUAGCUGCCAGGUCAUGUCAUUCGGCUCCGGGUGCAAUAGGUGCGGACCUAUUUUAGCCAUUUUUGGUCUGACAUGAAGCCUUUAUGGACCGAUUUAGCCACCGAAUUUGCCAUCCCUUACUGCAGUAGACAACACAUGGAGAGUUUAUAUCGGCAGCAGAAUUAUGGGCCCAGUGAUGUCUGAUUAGCAUUCCAGACUUCCAUUGUUUGAAAAUGAAGAUAACACCCUGCGUUCUCCAAUGUAUUGGUGUAUAGCCCCGGAAAAUGGCAUUUUGAGCAAGGUUUUCUGCUCUAUUUGCAUAGGUGCAUAAAAUUCGGGUGGACAGAUCGGUCCUAAAGAUUUGGUUGCCAUUUGUUAGUUACCCCUAACAGCUUGACACUUGUUCGUCACCACGCUGCCACUGUGUCGUUGAAGAUCAUGCAUGAUCGGUUCAUUGUUCA